rnacentral:pre_miRNA from 1 species
UCGGGCCACCUUCUCCCCGAGGGGAGAAGAGAUCGCCGGGGCCGGCGCCAACCUCUUCUCCCCGCCGGGGAGAAGGUGGCCGCGA